rnacentral:rRNA from 1 species
UCAUAGAAUUUCUUUAAAUUCAUGAUGUCGUAAGGGAAAAUAAUGAUAAUACCUUACUAUGAGUGUCGUCCAAAUCUGGUGCCAGAAGACUCGGUAAGACCAGAGACGCAAACGUUAAUCAUCAUAAACAGGCGUAAAGGGUUUGUAGGCAGCUUUUAUAAUAUUCAAUUGUAAUUUAAUUGAAAGCUAGAAUCAAAAAGAGGUUAUAGUGUAUAACGCCUAGAGGAGGGCUGAUAUCCAUAGAUCCUAGGCAGAAUACUUAGGGCGAAGGCCACUCUCCACUAAUGAUUGACGCUGAGAAACGAAGGUUAGGGUAGGAAAUAGGAUUAGAUACCCCGGUACUCCUUUCUGUAAACGAUGAAUGGUAGUCAUUAGUUAAAUUAAAAUAACUAGAGGCGAAGUUAACACAAUAACCAUUCCGCCUUGUGAGUACUACUGCAAAGUAGAAAACAAAAAAAUUAGUCGGUCUCGAAGCAAACGGAGUGAAGCAUGUUAUUUA